AAGUCGUAACAAGGUUUCCGUAGGUGAACCUGCGGAAGGAUCAUUAACACGUAUCCAAACGUUAAAACCCCCCCCCCGGGGCACAGUUUAAUGUGAAGCUCAAUGUAAUACAUUGGGUAAAAAAACCGAACAACUGUUAACAAUGGAUAUCUUGGUUCUC
rnacentral:misc_RNA from 1 species